CAAAGUCAAAUUAUACCAUUAUAUUAUAGGGUGUGUUUGUCAAGUUUUAAAACCUGUAGGAUUUGGAAAAGUUUACUAUCAUGCUUUUUACAGUUAAAGUUAACUGACGAAUGACAUGAAACCAAUUGACGGCUGAAAAAAAUUUUUGAACUUUAAAACAUUUCUUUUCGUGAAAGUUCGGGCGGGAAACAGUGCUUCAGCCUUUUUAAAAACGAGCGAACUGAGCUCGGAUCGGCUCGCGACGGUGAAGUAACAAAGAAAACUUCGCAGUUUUGGACUGGAGCCCUACUUAAGGCUCUCGUUUUGUGCAAGAUGGUUUUCAUCUCUCUCCAUGGCCGCAAAACCCUAAGCUCCUUCGUCUCGACUGUUCUCGCCGGAAAAACCCAAUAACUCCUUCUUUCUCGUCGUUUCUCGCCUUCAAAAAGUUCUUGGUCUCUCGCUCCUCGCCCGCAAAACCCAAGAUCUCCUUUAUAACCGUCAGAGAGAAGGAUCCAGGAUUAGUGUCUCGGUUUCUUGUUUGUACAUUCUGUAGAUUUGGGAUGGAUUCACAUGGGACUGUCAAUUGAGAGGCUGAAUUCCAGUCCCCUAAUUAAGAAUUCUGAGUCAGUGAUUGAUUGAAUGAGAUAAUGAAUAAGAGAAAGAAGCUGCCAACAAGUCUACUGCAACCUUCAACUUCAACUCCUACAGCUGGAAGCAAUCAUGUACCAAUAGAAAUUGAUUAUGAUACGUCAACCAAUAGUUUUAAUGAGCCUAGUGAAGCAUUAGAGCUGGACAAGGUUAGAGAGGCUUUGGCACAUAUGAUUUUAAUGGAUGAGCUACCAUUGACAAUAGUGGAAAGUGAUAGCUUCAAUUCUUUUGUACAAGUUCUUCAGCCGUUUUAUAAAAGAAGUGGAGUAGAGCAAGUGAAGGAAGCUUGUGAACGAAUUUUUGAGGCAGAAAGAAGAAAAUUAAAAACAAUUUUUGCAAAUGUCCCAAGGAUCAAUGUGACUACUGAUCUUUGGAAGUCAGAAGUCCAAGAUAUUGAGUACAUGGAAAUCACUGCUCAUUGGGUGGAUCAUAAUUGGUCUUUGCAGAAAAGAGUAAUCAAUUUUGUCCAUCUUCCUCCUCCAAGAAGAGGAGUAGACAUUGCAUAUACGAUGAUUAAUUGUUUCAAGGACUGGGGAAUUGAAGCCAAGGUUUGUGCUAUAACAGUGGACAAUUCAACAAUCAAUGAUGCUUGUCUUGUCAUUCUCAAAGAAGAUUUUGAGGUUCAAAGGAGAUUGUUGUGUGAUGGAAAACUUUUCCAUGUUAGGUGCAUUGCACAUUUUGUUAAUCUGUUAGUUGAGGAAGGGGUUGAGCAAAUUAAGGAAGUGAUAGAGACUAUUAGGGAGAGUGUGAAAUAUAUUAGUUAUUGUGAUGUAAGGCAGAAAAUCUUUUGUAAGAUUGCGCGAAAAUUGGGCAUUAAGGAAAGGAAGCUAAUCUUAGAUUGCCCCACCGUGUGGAAUAGCACAUAUAGGAUGCUUAGUGUGGCUUUGAGGUUUAAAGAUGUGUUUCCUAGGUACCAAAAGAGAGAUCAUAAUUAUAGUUACUGUCCAAGUGUGGAAGAAUGGGAAAAAGUAGCAAUUGUUUGUGAUUUUUUCCAGAUUUUUCAUGAUGUUAGCAAUAUGGUUUCAAGAUCAGAGAACCCCACAUCAAACUUAUACUUUAUUGAAGUUUUUAGGAUUAAGGAAAUUCUACAAGAAAGGGAGUUUGAUCCUAAUCCAUUUGUUCAGAAUAUGAUUAGCAAAAUGAGAUCUAAGUUUGAUAAGUAUUGGGGGGAGGUGAAUUUACUAAUGGCAUUAGCAAGUACUUUGGAUCCAAGGAUCAAGUUUAGGUUGAUUGAGUUUGUUUUUCCCAUUUUAUAUGGUGAUAUAAAAGCCAAGGAGGAGAUACAAAAUGUGAAGAAGACUCUUGAAACAUUAUAUGGUCAAUAUAUGGCACUUAUUCCAUCGGACAAUGAAAGCAAUGUACAAACACACCAAUCUAGUGAAUCAGACAAUGCAUCUAGCUCUCAUACUAGUCAUAGUGACUCAUUGUCAAAUGAAGGCUGGCAAAGAUUAAAAGAGCACAUUAAGAAGGUAGAAUAUGAACCAACUGUAAAGUCAGAGCUAGAUGUUUACCUUGAAGAAGGUUGCAUGAAGAUUGAUGAGGGAACAAGACCAUCAGAUUUUGAUGCUCUUAAAUGGUGGAGGGACAAUCAAUUGAAGUACAAAGUGCUCUCUCAAAUGGCUGCUGAAAUCUUAGCAAUUCCUGUCUCUUCUGUAGCUCCAGAGGAAGCAUUUAGAGUUGGUUCAAGAGUAAUUGACUGUUAUUGGGAAACUCUGGAUCCAGAAACUGUCAAUAUGCUUCUUUGUGGAGGAGAUUGGAUUAGGGCAAUGCAUGGAGUGAAAAAACCCCAAAAGGUUGAUGAUAGUGAAAUUGAGAUUUCAUGUCCAAUAAAAUGAAUAAGUUGCUGUUGUAAGGUGAUGAAUCUGGAGUGAUGCACGUAAGGUGAUGAAUCUGCUGUUGCGAGGAGUUCAGAAGGUAAAGCUAGGAUUUGGCAUGUGUUUUUCGAAAGUGACCGGGUAAUUUUCAUAUAGUCAGUAUCUGUAGCUUCUGUUUUUUUGUAUCAAUGUAAAAAAUGGAGCAACUGCUUUGCACUUGAAUGGUCUGUGCUGGAUCCAUAUGUUUUGUGAAAGAAGAAAGGCAUGCUUUUAUGCUGCCUUUGUUCUUCCAAGGAAUUCAGCUAUCUACUAACUUGGGUUUGCGCUUAGAAUUUACAUUUUGAUCUUUUUAUGAUGAAUGAAGCUUUUGUUUUUUCUCAA